UACGUAGGGGGCGAGCGUUGCCCGGAGUUACUGGGCGUAAAGCGCACGCAGGCGGUCUGCUAAGUUUGGAGUGACAGUUGGUGGCUUAACUGCCAAAGUGCUUCGAAAACUGACAGACUUGAGGGCUUCAGAGGGACACGGAAUUCCGGGUGGAGUGGUGAAGUGCGUAGAGAUCCGGAGGAACACCAAAGGCGAAGGCAGUGUCCUGGGGAGUACCUGACGCUCAGGUGCGAAAGCCAGGGGAGCGAACGGG
rnacentral:rRNA from 1 species